UGGUCAGGGAUGGAGUCUGGGUGAUAUUUAUUAAAAACAAAAACAAAGCCCAAAACAAAAAACUCCCCAGAUAACGUGCAGCCAGAGCUGAUAACCAUUUUGACUGUCAACAAGCUCAACGGGGGGAGAACAGACCUCCCAGAGAAGCUUUAAGAAAUUCUUCUUCUGGGACUCUUUUAGCACUAACAGGCAUCCAACCUUGCAAUAGGAGUGAGGUCUUUUAAGCGUGCGGGCAGCCUGAGUGAUCAGGGCAAAUACAGAUU